AGGGUUGGGUGGGUAAGAAGUCCCUGUCACACUGUUUUGAGCAUUGCUGCUGUACUUCCUGUUGUCAUUGGUCUGUGUGGCUUGCCUUGUGCUUUCAUGCGAUUGCUCACAUGAUCUUCUAACCCAAAAAAAGGGGCCCUUUAUUUGGUUGCUUAUAAUGAACAGUAUUUUGUUGACUUUUGCUCCUUUAUAUGUCUAUCUUUCUACCCUGUAUUACUCUGUUUCUCAGACCUUUCAUUGUAGUGCUGGAAAUUUGAAUUGUUUUCUUCUAAAGAUGCUUCUGUAGAGAAAAAUGAAACUUUUGGUGGGGGUGGGUGGAUAGGAGUAGUUUGGUUGAUUUCUAAAAUGUCUCUAUUUUAAAAGGUGACAGUAACUCACAUCAUGAUUAGAUGACAUAGAAUCAUUAGUACUGAAAGAAGACAUCCAUUUUGACCCUCCAGGGAGAUAAUUUUGCUACUACCAAUUCUUCAUUAACAGCUGUGGUUUUAGGGAAGUACUUUUUAUACCCAUCAUUCAAUUUUUUGACCUUUGUCAGAAAAGUAAAGUCAGUGAAAGUUAUGGUGGGGAUUGUGUGCUUUGAGGAAGAAGGUUUAGAAGUGACAAGCUUGGGGAUUUUUAGGGGAAGUAUCCAUUUGAGAUACAUGUCUUGGUGACUUGAUAUGGAGAUGGAUUAUAUCGUGCAGUCUGUGAAAGGUAUGGUCAGGAUUUUUGUUGGAAGCAGAAAACAACUACCAGAUAGUUGCACAUCUUUUACUAUUGUCUGUAGCUCCUGUGGAACAUCUACUCUACCAGGAAGCCAAGCAAACAGUACUGCAGUGCCUUCUAGGGGCCUACUGAGGCUCAGCUGAAUGUUUAGAAACAUUCAGACUCAUAAGCUGCCACCCUUGGCAUCAGUGUCACGUAGAAGGCUAUAGAGUGGGAAGUACAGCUUGGCAGCAGGGCAGACCAGCUGUUGUCGUUCUAUGGGAGUCCCUGCAGCUGUCCAUGUAGCAUAGCUCAUGUUCAAGGAGACAGAUCAGGUAUUAAUGUGGAGGCUGCCCUAGCUUAGAAGCUUCUUGUCCCAUGGGAGCAAUUAUCUCUUAGAACAACAUAGAUGUCUUAGACAUAGCCUCCUGGGUCUCCAAGCUUGUUCUAAGAGUCACCAGUUGGGGAAACCCAAAGCUGUGGCUUCUUCUCAGGCAUUUCUAGUCUCCCAGCCCAGAUGCAAUUUACCACGUAGGGGUCAUUCUCCUAUAUGUAAUGUUGCCUGGAAACAUAGUUGAUAGAUGACUCUAUUAUGUUGCCAGGCGAACAGAGCUAGAAAAUUUAACCAAAGGUCAAAAUCUCAGCAAAAGGGGAAUAGAUUUUGUUAAUCCUUACCUAACAGUAUGUGAAGCAACUGCACAAAGAUAUUCCACCUAAUCUUUUUUUUUUUUUUUAAUAUAACAGGUCCCAGUGUUCCAAACAUCCAGUUUGUUAAUUAAUUAAUUAAUUUUUAUAUGGUGCUGAGGAUCCAACCCAGGGCCCCACAUGUGCUAGGUGAGCACUCUAUUGCUGAGUCACAACCCCAGUCCUCCAAGUAAUUCUUUUUUGCAGGGGGUGGGGGGGGGGACUGGGAAUUGAACCCAGGGCACUUGACUGAGCCACAUCUGAGCCACAUCUGAGUCAUACCUCAGCCCUAUUUUGCAUUUUAUUUAGAGACAGGGUCUCACUGAGUUGUUUAGGGCCUUGCUGAUGCUGAGGCUGACUUUGAAUUCGCAAUCCUCCUGCCUCAGCCUCCGGAGCUGCUGGGAUUAUAGGCAUGCACCACCACACCCAGCUCCUCCACUUAAUUCUUAUAAAAUAGAGCCAGAGGAGUUUCCUGUGAGAAGGCAGCCAACAUUUUUCUUCAUUUGAAUAAUAUUCAUUCUUUGUGCUUAGCUGUUUAUGAUUAAUAUACUGUUUAUAAAUUUUACUGAGGUAGGUGGAAGAGUUGGCUAAACAGUCAAAAUGGCCCCAUCAAAAUGUCAUAUAUCCCUUGGUGCUAUUUGUAGUUGGCAAGUACAGUAUGUCAUACUAUAGGGACAUUAUUUAAUGGAAAUUUCUGAGGGUUACAUCAGUCAUACUUCGAGGGGAAUCCAAGCCCUGCCAGGAACCAGCAAGCACUGGGCUCCAGGUCAUGGUCCCCCUCACUGCUGCAUCAUAUAUUGCUACUCUUGGCUCCUUCAAUUGCUCCUGGCACAUCAAUAAGUGAGGACAGCUGUUUAUUUAUUCAACAGUUAUCCACAAUUAUUUAUAGAGUCCUAACCGUGGGCCAUUCACUAUGGUGUCUUUAAUGAGCCUGCCCAAUCCCUGCCUGGAAGGAACUUGCAGCGUGCCAUCAGGAGCCCAGCAGGUAAGCAGUUAUAAUGUAGUGUGGGGCGUGACACCUAGAACUCCUAGCCCAGUCUCACAGCCUUGGAGACGGCUUUCUUAUCUAAGCUGCUGCUGUUGUGAUCAUCCCAUUCCAUAAACUUCUAUGUAUAAGCAAUUUAAACAGUUUCUGAAAUACCCUGCCUUUUCUAAACUUGGUGGCUUUGGACAUUAACAGUGUUUAAAUAACCUGUUUUAUUCAGAUGUAUGAAAAUUGUAUACACAUUUCAGAAUAUCUCUAGUCUUUAGAAAAUAUGCGCCAGAUGCUAUUGCUUUCUUAUUUCAAAAAAACUAUCUAUAAUGUGUGUAUAUAUAUAUUAUUUGUCAAUUAAAAAUAAAAUUAAAACAACAAAUAACUUUCCAUUAUAUUGAUCUAGUGUAAUAAAACAAAAACAUUAUUGCUGUGACACGUGGAGAGAUCCCGGUGGAUUGAGUCUUGGUUGGCUGUGAACUAGCUGAUACUGCAGAACUUAGGAUAGAUGUAGGACAGGACCAUUCAGUCACAGGGUCUGAGAGCUGGAAGGGACCCUAGAGAUGGUCUCCUGCAACUCCAUUUUACUCUGGAGAUGAAAUGACUAGUUUCUAGUCCCUACACACCUGGUGAAGAUCAGAAACCAGGACCUGACAGGCCAAAGCCAAUAGCAGGCAUGUCUGGACAGACAAGAGAGAACAUCCACAGACAGCACUUUUUCUUUGGUUACCUAUUAGACAAAAAUGCUGUUUGGGCCUGAUAUGAUCAAAUAUGCCUUGUGUGAUCAGGGCCUGCAUUCUUGUGAUGCUUAGACAGGGGGGGGGAGUCUUAAAUAGAACAUAGGAUAGUUAAUCUAAUCUUUUUGUUCUAUAAUACCCACGAGUAUCUACAACAACAUAACCAGAAUUGAACAUACAAAUGAUGCAAAUGGAAAUUUCCAUUGUCCGGUUAUUUUUUAACAUAUAUCAUUUGAUUUUUUUUUAGAGAGAGAGAGAAUUUUUUAAUACUUAUUUUUUAGUUUUUGGCGGACACAACAUCUUUGUAUGUGGUGCUGAGGAUUGAACCCGGGCCGCACACAUGCCAGGCAAACGCGCUACCUCUUGAGCCACAUCCCCAGUCCUAUCAUUUGAUUUUAAUGUAUUUGCUUUAUUUGUAAAAACUUCCAAAAGUAAAAACUAUCCAGCAUUUUCUUGAAAUUACUUUUCCCAACAUCUCUAUAUUUUAUUUUAUUCUAGUACUGAAGAUUGAACCAGGGGUGCUUUACCAACGAACUACAUUUCCAGUCUUUUUUGCUUUAAAAAAAAAAAAAUGGGAAGCACUGUGAUUGUGGCUCAGUGGUAGAGUGCUCGCCGACUAGCAAAUGUGAGGCCCUGGGUUCCAUUCUCAGCACCACAUAAAAAUAAAUAAAUAAAAUAAAGGUAUUGUGUCCAACUACAACUAAAAAAUAAAUAUUAAAAAAAAAGAUUUUUGGUAUACCAGGGAUUGAACUCAAGGAUACUCAACCACUGAGCCACAUCCCCAGCCUUAUUUUGUAUUUUAUUUAGAAACAGGGUCUCACUGAGUUGCUUAGUGCCUCACAUUUGCUGAGGCUGGCUUUGGACUAGCAAUCCUUUUGCCUCAAUCUCCUGAGAUGCUGCAAUUACAGGCUAUGUUUAUAACUGAUUUUUGAAACAUAAUUUGUGCAUGAUUUUGGGAAUUCGACAAGGAACAAUCUUAUUUGAAACAAAACCACAUAUCUUUAGUUCAGCAGCCCAUAUAUUAUUUUUGGUAUUGAGUGACAACAUAUUUUAAGUAUAUCUUGAUUCAAUGAAUUUUAAUAAAUCUGCAAAAACUCAUUUUCGUUAAAGAUCUGCAAUGAUAUACAACAGUUAUCAGCAAGACAGAUUAGCCACUUAACCAAUCUAAAAAUACCUAGAAGUAGUGCUGCUGGCUAUUAAUGAAAUAUUUACCAAGUUUGAGAUUAAAAUUAAUUUAGGGUCAUCAAAGAUUCGAAUCAUUUCUAAUUUGGGUAAAUCAACCUGGGGAUAAACAGGAAAUAGUCUUGAGCUAAAUUUUCAUCUUGAUUUGUAUAAGACCAGAUUGAGACAAGUUCAGAAUGGAACAGUGUCAGCCAGAUUCAAGAAAAAGUCUUUUGUUCCUUUAUUACUCAUGUUGCCCUCAAAAACAAACAAAUUUUCUGACCUUCCAGAAUUUGAAACUGACCUGAGUUAGAUAAUUGCAAAUUUGGGGAGGGUCAAAAUACAUAUACCAGUUUCUGCAGAGUGAAUAAAAAUAGGGAAUUAAGGUUUGAUCUUUUCACAUGAAUGAGUUGUUAAUGCUUUCUAAUUUAACUUUUUCUCAGGUCAAUUACUUUACAUGAAAUCUUAAAGAGGAAUUUUAUGGACAAGAUUUUAGUGAAGGGGGAAAAAAACUCACAAAAUAAAGAGAACUGUUAAAUAGAGCUCAAAUAUUACCUCCCACCUCUGUUCCACUGUGUUAGGACCAACCAACUCUCUUUGUACAAGUUUCUGGGCAGAAUAUCCUAACCAGCACAUUUUAGAUUCUGUGAAGGAAGAUGACCACUGCUUGAGGAAUAAUAGAUAAUGUGGGACACAACAUAAGAAAGGUAAGACAGAUAACACAAAAGUCACGGUAGGUGCAACCAUUCUAUUCUGAGUUCUGCAGCUGGUUUCCAACAACUCUUAAAAAGAAAACAGAGAUGGAGCUGAUCUGCCAAGUUUCCAAAUGGAUCAGUUCACCUUAAAAAGGCGCCUGUCAUAACUGUUAUUAAAACAAGAGGAGAUGGGCUGGGAGUGUGGCUCAGUGACAGAGCGCUUGCCUAGUAUUUGUGAGGCACUCGGUUUGAUCCUCAGCACCACAUAAAAACAGAAUAAAGGUAUUGUGUGUAUCUACAACUAAAAAAAAAAAAUUAAAAAAAGAGAGAGAAGCCAAGAUUAUUGGCAAUAAUACCAAUACUUUUUUUUAAUUUUUAAAUAUUUAUUUUUUAGUUUUUGGCGGACACAACAUCUUUGUUUGUAUGUGGUGCUGAGGAUCGAACCCAGCGCCCGGCGCAUGCCAGGCAAGUGCGCUACCACUUGAGCCACAUCCCCAGCCCCCCAAUACUUUUUUUAAGAAGUAGAAAAUAUUAUGCUUUUUAGAACUGAAUUGGUCUUCAUAUUCAAGUAGUUACGUACCAGGUCUGUUUAUAUAGUCCAGUGCUGACAAGGUUGUGGGUUGUUUUGCUGUAUGUAUGUGUGUAUAUAUGUAUGUAUGUAUAUAUACACACACACAUAUUAAAAUUGAGAAAGAAUAAAGUAAUAAAUUAGUGUAUAUAAUAUAAAUUUAAAUUAAACUCCAUUUUUUAAUAGAAACAUGCUUUUUUUAAAAAAAAAAACAUGCUUUUUUUUUUUUUUUUGGUACCUGGGACUGAACUCAGGAUCACUCACCACUGGGCCACAUCCUCAGUCCUUUUUUUGUAUUUUAUUUAGAAACAGGGUUUCACUGAGUUGUUCAGCACCUCGCUGUUGCUGAGGCUGGCUUUGAACUCAGGAUACUCCUGACUCAGCCUCCCAAGCCACGGGGAUUACAGGCAUGCACCACCACACCCGGCCUUUAAAACAUCCGUGUACUUGUUUUAAAAAUUAUUACUGCUUAAACAACAGGUUCAAAUAUUUCUCUUUUGAAGAUGGAAAGUUGGUUCAGUUUCAGCAAUGUAAUUGAUAUAAUUUUACAUUUUUUAAAACGUUGAGACUGAGUUUAUUUGAGAUUAUCUGGGCUUUCUGCCUGCUCUUGAGAAAAACAUAUAUAGCCUGUAUAUUUUUUUAAAAAAAGAUUCCCCAUAACAAUAUAAAACUGCUAACACUAAAUACACUUUCCAUCUGUUUAAAGACUCAUUAACUUCAUUUAGUAAUAGAAAAAAAAAGUUACUAACUAGAACAGGGAUUAGACUAAGUUAUACUUAAUACCUGUUUUUGGUUUUUUUUGUAAAUAAAGUUUUAUUGGAAAACAGGUACAUCAUCUGUGCCAGCUUUCACAUUGCAAUGACAAAGUUCUGUGACUGUGACAGAUAUCUAUUAUACACAAAGCCUGAAAUAUUUACUAAAAUGUUACUUAAAAAGAGUUUGCCCACCUGUGAUCCAGAAUGUUGGUAAGGACAGGGGAUCUGUUACUCCUCUAGGAACUCGCAGGUAAAGUAGUUUUCUAUUUUGGACCAAUCUGUGAGCUUCACUAGGAUUUAAGCAUGCCUGGUAUGUAGGUUUGAGGGUCAGUGGAGGGUACUGCUGAUCUGUAUGAAAUUUGGGGGGGGGAGAAGGAUGGUCACUUGAUUUUGUUCCAAGGAAGCGUACCUGAGCCUUCAAUGUGAGAGCUACAGGAAGAGAAUGAAAGAACAUGACCUAUAUAAUCAAACUCCACAGCUUUGAACACCUGAUGGUUCAAAAUGGUAGGAGGUUAGGGGCACUCUGCUGCACUUCCCAACACUACGUGUUCUGUGUGUGUUCUCAGUGCUCCUAUGGCUCACAGGCAGUGGCAGGGAGGGCGAGUCAGCUGGAUGAGCUCUAAUACUGGAGACACCUAGGCUCUCAGCUUUCCCAGACACCUCCAUCUCACCAGCAGACAUCCUGAGGGACUCCAGAGCACCUCUCUUGGUGGGGGCACUUUCAGCUGUCAGGAACAGACACUCAAAAGUAAGCUGAAGGCAACGGAUCUCCAAGUGUGGUCUCAGAAUCAACAGCAUCAGUGUCACUUGGGGGAUACCUAGGCAAACUAAAGUUUGAAAGCAAUUAAAAAAAAGAGAGAGAGAGAGAAAAGUUGGACACAAUACCUUUACUGUAUUUAUUUAUAUAUGGUGCUGAGGAUUGAACCCAGUGCCUCACACAUGCUAGGCAAGCACUCUACCUCUGAGCUAUAACCCCAGCCCCUUGAGAGGAGUUUUACGAGGAUUCAUUUUAAAUUAAAAUGCAUAACUAGGGUUGGGGUUGUGGCUCAGCAGUAGAGCUCUCGCCUAGUGCUCACCUAGCACAUGUGAGGCCCUGGGUUCCAUCCUCAGCACCACAUAAAAAUAAAUAAACAAAAUAAAGGUAUUGUGUCCAACCACAACUAAAAAAUAUUUUUUAAAAAAUGCAUAACUUGGGCUGGGGCUGGGGCUCAGAGGUAGUGCAUUGCCUACCAUGUGUGAGGCACUAGGUUCGAUUCUCAGCAUCCCAUAAAAAUACAUAAAGGCCUAUCAACAACUAAAAAAAAAAAUGCAUAACUUGAUGAAUUUCUCAGGAAAUCCCAGAUCAUCUGAAAUUAAAAAGGAAGGACUAAGGCUGCUCCUGGUGGGUCAUAUUCUUUAUCCAGUUUCCUUGUCUGCUUUUCAUGCGGCUCUUAGACUGGCUUGGUUCUGCCCAUUCACCAGCUCCAAAAGACUGGCAUGGUUCUGCCCAUUCACCAGUUCCAAAUGACUGCCCCAGCCCUGAUGUGACCACUGCCCAGUCCUUCAGUUAAAAUCUUCCAGAGGAGGGGCUGGGGCUGGGGCUCAGUGACAGAGUGCUUGCUUAGCAUGUGUGAGGCACUGGGUUCAAUCCUCAGCACCACAUAAAAAUAAACAAAUAAAAUAAAGGUAUGCUGUAAAUCUACAACUACAAAAAAUAAAAAAAUAAAUCUUCCAAAGGAAAACAGCUUAAUCUCUACCUAAAAAAAUAAGAGGUUCCCUCAGAUCACACAGCACACUUGGGUCGGGCAGCUGGGGGCUCUAAAUGGGGAUCAGGGCAUUCCUGGAAAUUGGAGCUGAGUAGAGAAGUUGGUGGAUAUGUCCCCUGAGCAGGAGCCUGGAGGAGACAAGAAUGUUGACCUCUAUGUUGCCUAGAUCAAGAAAAUUAUGGCAAGCAGCGUGUUUUGGGGGGCCACAGCAGAUAUUUAUUUUAGAGCUCAAAGACUGUUUUUUGUCUGUUUGGGUACCAGGGAUUGAAUUCAGGGCCAUUGCUUAGUGCCUAGCUAUAUUGCUGAGGCUGGCUUUGAACUCCUGAUUCUCCUACCUCUACCUCCUGAGCUGCUGGGAUGGAAUUCCAGGCAUGUGCCACUGGCUGGGCUUCAAAGACUGGGUUCUUUUUCCCUCUCGGCAUGACCCAAGCAUCAAUUGAGCAGUGCAGUGAAGGAGAAUUUUUAUUCUUGGCCAGGAAUAGGAGAAAUGGAAGGUAAACUCACAGAUCAAUGUCUCACUCCUUGAGGGUCAGAAGGUUAGAAAUACAAGGUAAAAAAAAUGAGCAGGGAGGGAUAGGAUAAUAAAGGGGAGGAAUAUUCAUGUCUUUUAUUUUAAUGAAGUUAGAGGUGGUCUGGAGGUCACCUGGCAGCAAUCUUAGACACACUAGUUCCAAUUUGUCCACCUAAAAAGGAACUUCUGGCCUUGAGGCAUCUUGUCCUCAAAGACAAGAAAGAUUAGGGCAGGGUAAAAUUUCAGUAAGGUCACCCAGACUGUACAAGACCAAGGCAGGGUAACAGGAUACUGCAAACAAUCCAAAGUAGUUUUAUUCACAAGAGCUAAAAAGUGAAACAACCCAAUGUCCAUCAACUGAUGGAUGGAUAAACCCAAUGUCAUGUAUGCAUACAGUGAAAUAUUAUUCAGUCAACAAAAGAAUGAAAUGCUGAUACAACAGUACAUCACAGAUGAACUAAGUUUCAUGUGAAAGAAACUGCUUUCAAAGGGCCAUAUAUUCUUUAUUUCCAUUUAUAUGAAAUAUCCAGAAUAGGCAAGUUCAUAGAAACAAGAAGCAGAGUGGUAGCCAGGCGCAGUGGGAGGUUAAGGCAGGAGGAUGGUGAGUUCAAAGCCAGCCUCAGCAACUUCGAGGCACUAAGCAGCUCAGUGAGACCCUGUCUCUAAAUAAAAUACAAAAUAGGGCUGGGGAUGUGGCUCAGUGGUUGUGUACCCCUGAGUUCAAUCCCCAGUACCCCCCCACACAAAAAAAGCAGAGUGGUGACUACUAGGAGCUAGGGGAGAAGAGACUGUGGAAUAGAUAAAAUGGAAGAAAUAUAAAAAAACGAUAGGUAGAAAGAAGACAAAAGAAAAGGAGACUGUAACUUGAAAAUGAAAAUCUUGUGAAAGUUUAUCAUAUCUUCCCUCCACAAGUCAAUUCCCUUUCCCAGGCCUGUCUACCACAAAUUUCUGGGAAGUCUAUAAAUCUUCAUUCAUAAUCUUAAAGUCACUAAAACUUCAUUUGCUUAUGAAAAUUUGUUCUAUGCACUGUUGUUAAUUAACCCCCUAAUUCAUGUGUUUUUCGGGUAGAUUAAGCAAAGGAGGUAUGAAACAUGUUAUAUAAAGCACUUUCCUAAUUUUACCUAUUGCUCAUAUUACCGAGAAGUCAACCUAAGAAGCCUGAGAACUGUCAAACCACAAACCAUCUUGUCUUGGCCAGACUGACGUCAUCCUCACAUGCCCGCCCCUCACCAAAUUCCCCUUCAAAAAACAGCCUGAAAACUCCGAAAACAUAUCUCACUCUGGACGUGGCAUGCUCCUUACUUCUGGUGAAUGCACAUUCCUCAAUUUCCUAAAUAAAUCUGUACCUCAAUAUCUGACACGUGCUAAAAUUAUUUUCCUAUACCUCUGUCAAGGACCCCAUUCUCCUGAGCUGAGAUCCCCUCUAUAGAACCCCCUAGAGAGGUGACCUCCUGACCCCCUCCUGCGACAGAAUGACUGCUAGUGGGUAACAGUUUCCCUUUGAGUGUUGAAAAGUUCUGGAACUAGAUAGUGUUGGUGGUUGCUCAAGACUAUGAAUGUAUUUAAUGCCAAUGAAUACUUCAAAAUAAUAAAAUUUUAGGGAAUACAUAUUUCACCACACUAAGGGGGGAAAAGUCUUGCGGCUCACAGAGGCACACACGAAUGUAAUCCCAACUACUCGGGAAUCUGAGGCAGAAGGAUGGCAAAUUGUAACCAGCCUGGGCGAUUGAACAAGAGCCUGUCUCAAAAUAAAAAAUAAAAAGGGCUGGCAAGGUAGCUCAGUGGCAAAACGCCCCUGGGUUCUCCAGUACCACGGGAGCGCGGUGAUCCAGCUCUUGGUGCCGGGAUUCCAGCAGGACCCCAGGAGGGUGGCAGAUAUAUAUCAGUAGCUGUCGUGACGCGCCGCUCACAGGCGUCACCGGCUCGAGAGCCGCGGGAGGCGAAGAAGAUAGCGGGCGCCAUUUGCAGCUGAGGGCGCAGCGUGGCGAUGGCGCGCUGGCUCCGAGGGCUGGGGACGGUCACAAAGGAGGCGCGGGCGGCGGCGGGCACAGGUUCCGGGAGGCCCUGCCCACGCCCGCGAGGAGCUGUGGAACCACGGCCCAGCCUGGCCCUGGGAAAGGCGGGAAGGCACGUGGAGCCUCAGGGCUGCAGCGGCGCCAGCUUCGGGGAACCGUGCACGGCGCGGGGCGUGUCUGGAGCCGUCCGGCGCCGCGCACUCGGAGGGUCGGCGGCAGCCGGGCUCGGGCUGCAAUCGGGGCGCGGGGCGUCAGCUAGUUUGUAGCAUCUCCUUCCGUUGGUCGCGUUGGUCUCGAGUAGAUCGGGUUCUGCACCUCAGACCGCACUAUCGCAGAAAUGAUGCUGCGGGCUUCGCAACGCACCGAGUCAGGUGGCGCGCAAUUUCAGUCUGUCAUUUCAACUCAUUGCUGAUGGCUCGCUUUUAUGCCUGAUGAAGAUGACAUCUGAGCCGGGAGCGGUGGCGCACGCCUGGAAUCCUAGCAACUUCGGAAGCUGAGGCAGGAGGAUCGCAAGUUCAAAUCCAGCCUCAGCCAUUUAGCAAGGCCCUAAGCAACUUAGAGACACCCUAAUAAAAAUAAAAAGGGCUGAGAAUGUGACUCAAUGGUCAAGCGCCCCCUGGUUCAAUCCCUGGUAUAAAAAAAAAAAAAAAAAGUCUGCCAGCCUUCUAGACAAAAUAACACCUUUCCCCUUGGCA
rnacentral:lncRNA from 1 species